CACGUAGGGCGCGAGCGUUGUCCGGAAUUAUUGGGCGUAAAGAGCUCGUAGGCGGCCUGUUGCGUCCGCUGUGAAAGCCCCGGGGCUUAACCCCGGGUCGGCAGUGGAUACGGGCAGGCUAGAGGUAGGUAGGGGAGAAUGGAAUUCCCGGUGUAGCGGUGAAAUGCGCAGAUAUCGGAAGGAACACCAGUGGCGAAAGCGGCUUCCUGGUCCAGCACCGACGUUCAGGCACGAAAGCGUGGGGAGCAAACAGG
rnacentral:rRNA from 1 species